UUUCCUGCAGCUCGGAUAUAGCUAAUUGUGUGGGUACAAAACAGCCAUGAAUUAUUCGUGAGGAAUGUUUUGGCUCCCCAAUUGAAAUUGCCAGAGCAUAUUUGAAGCAACCCCUUAUGUUCUUGGGCUACAAAGUAGAAUAUGCCAUAAGCAUAAAGCUCAAUUUGGAAGUAAACUGGUAAAUGAUGCCAUGCUUCCAAAUCUACUUUAUGCUUUUCUAUAUUCUCUAAAGAUAUUCAAAAUAACUAUAUGACUCGAAGGCCACGAUGCAGUUCAAGAUGGUGUGAAUUACAUCACUAUCUUUGUCAGCCACUUCUUUACUUGCUAAUUCCAAGAAUAUACUAAUUAUAAGAGCAACAACGUAAAGCCAAUCGCAUCAUCAAUUGCUAGGCAUUUUGGCCUUGGACAUGGAGCGGCUUGGAUUGUUGCGUUCUUCUAUAGGCAAAGAGCCAAUUUCCUGAAGCUCAGACAUAGUUAAUUAUGUGGGUACAGAACAGGCAUAAAUCGUAUGAAGAAGAUUAUCCAGCUCCUGCCCAUCAUUGAAAUGUGUGGAAAUAGAAGAUUUUACUACAACUAUUGGUAUUUUUUUCUUUUAUAAUGUAGCAUCGUUGUCCUGAUAGCACUAUGGACCACUCAAUUCCUAUUUGUUUAUAUAUCUAACACCUAAAUUUCAAUUUUUACAUAUGUGCCACCUUUCUUAUGUAUAAAAAGGUGUACUUACUUUUUAGAAGUCAAGUGAUAUUUUUGAUGAGAUAGGAAGGACUUGAGGUGUUAUAAAUGUAAAAAUCAAAAUCGAUGUGUUAGAU